rnacentral:lncRNA from 1 species
UUGUAUUGUGAAUGACUUAGAAAAAUAACAAAGAGAGCCUAUAUGUAGAGCAAUGACAACUCGAAAGUGAUUUCGGAGAAAGAACAAACGUAUAGUUCCAUCUUAAGAGUAGUUCCAUUUUUGAAAAAAUGAGAAAAGAUCAUGUGAAUGUAAAGUAGGGCAUGUGUUUUCUUUCCUCCUUUGAAUUGUUUCCUUUUCAGAUUUGCUAAUAUUGAUCCAUUUGACGACUAAUUUUAAUGUUGUUUUCUUAUUUUUCUAGCAUAUGGCAAGAUGUAAGCACAAGGGUGGACAAGCAGAUGGAAAAAAAUAGCAUGUUCUCGGGGUCACUAGAAACCUUGUGGAUGCUUCAACUGGUAAUGAAAGCAAAUCGCUUUUCUCCACCGUAUUACAAUAACUAACUAUCUUAUUUUUCAUGAGUUCCCUUUUGGCUCAUUCAGUGUCAAAUGCACAAGCAGUGCAGAGAAGAACAAGGUAAACGUUCUGUAGCACAAUGUAAUUAUAGAAAACUUUAGUAUUUAGGAUAGAAAGGCGACUGGUCCAUAUAUGUUCAAAGUUUUCUUAUUUUGCAUAAACCACUUUAAGUGUUUUCAAUAGAGUUAUAGUAGGCUAUAUG